GCUUAACUGACUGAGCCACCCAGGUGCCCGAAAUGUUUUAUUUCUUAAACUGAGGAGCACAUACAUGAGUUAGUUAAUUUAUAUUCUAUACUUUGUGUUUUCUCAAACAAUUCGUAAAUCAACGAUAUGUGGAAGCCAGUUUUCUCAUACAGCAGCGUUACAUGGGUGAGACAGGGGAGGCACCAGACUUAGUCCCCCUCCUUGAGCCAUCCUGCUAGUUUGGCAGUGAUGGGAAAUCUGUGGCUCUCAGAUUUGGCCACGGCAGGGUCCAAAUGAAUCUGUAGUAUCUCUGGGGCUGCACCCAGGGGCCAUGUUUAUUCUGAGGUUCCAAGAGAAAGAGGGAAUAAAUGCCAUCACAGUGAAGAGGUGAGAUAAUCGAGGGAAAUCUUUGGGUGGUUUUCGUGAACAUCUACUUAAGUGCCAUGUUUGGCAUCCAUUCUGUCUAAACCAACCCCCGCGGCCGCCCAGCACACAGGAGAGUGUAUUUGGUUCUGUGCCUCAAACACAGCUUAUUUUGUAUAGGUACUUGUUCCUAGUCAACUCGGGUCAUAAAGGCACUCAGAAUCUCCUAGAAAAAGGCAUAUGUAGGAAAUGUUAAGGCAGGUUUACAGCAAACGUAGGUCAGGAGAUGCUAGGAGAGGAUGACAUCGUUCCUCGGGGAAAGACCUUUUAGCCUUUCUGUUUGGAUUUCUGGCACGUUUUCAUUCCUCCGUGAGGUGGGCUAAAGUGCUCUAUUUUAGUUACAACCCCCUGCCUCUGAAAGCGAGUGAAUAACGCAUUUAUAAGCUGGUCUGGCUUUCGUACCUCUCCCUGACCUCCCUCCCCCUCUUCACAUUUAGUGAUGUUUAGAGUUUGCUAAACACACCAUGCUGUUCUCUGGGCCUGGAACCCACCACCCCACCCACAGUCCUUCUCUGUCGUGAAGCUCCUCCUGUGUGAAGACUCUCCUCCCACCCCUCCACAGGAGAGGAGUCUGGCUGUGUCUCCUGGGGGCCCUCCUCCUGCUAAAACGCAGCUGCGCCAUUUUCCUUAACACACAGUAUGGUAGUUACUGCUCGUGCGUCCAUCCCCCCGCUGCGAUGUUGCGCUCCUUCACGGCAGAGACCCUGUGUUAUUUAACUUUCUACCCCCGGAGCCUAGCAUCCUCUCUUUUGCUGUAGGCCUACCAUCCACUCUUUUCUCCUUAAAAUGAUCUGUUGACACCCAUGCAGAAUUCAGUUGUAGGCCAAGAAGCAAGGCAAGAGAGGUGGGGUAUACCAAAGAGGAGGAAACAGACACUAGCUGGCAUAAGAGGCAUAAUUCCAUGCAUUCGCGGAACUUCAGCUGACGCUGUGCAGUUUGUGAAAAGUAAACCACAGCUUACACAAAGGCUUGAGGUGCAGAGAAGGCAGGGGUCAGCGAUAACAAAGCUCCUGGUACCUCUUCCUUCCCUUCAGCUGUGACCCUCUUCCGCUCCCUUUUUUUUUUUUUGGUCUCCUAACCUGGUCUGGUCUGGAAUCUCCUGAAUUGUCAACAGCUAGUUAUUCCAUGUGUGUUAUGCCCUGAAUCCUGUUCUGAAUACAACGCUAGUAGGUUCCACUAAUUAAUUAAAUUGUACUUCAUAGACUUGGAGUCAAGGCUCUUGAAUACAAGAUGCAAAUUUAUGCAACAUAUGCAAAUCACUCAUGUUCUCAAAUUCCAUGAACAAAAUCUGGUAGCCUUGAGAUAAAAAAGCCCCUGCCAAGCAUCAUCUCUUCUAAUUAUUUCUUAAUUCCACCCCCCCCUCCCCCUUUAACACUGAACUAACACUUUCAGGCUUGGCAGAAACUGGUAGAAAUACAAUGAGAGUUGGUUACAAACAGGAAGUUCCUUAAGGGCAAAGACCCUCUAAUCUACUUUAUGUUCUCCGGGAGCUCCUAGUGCACAGUUGAGCACACAUAGUCUUCCAUAGGGCACGGCACCACUAGUCCUAACUACUAAAUUAUGGAUGAUUUGGAUGAACAGAAGUUGAAGCCCUGCAAGCUUUGUCUAAAACAUGACAUUUAAGUCUAGGAAUAAGGAUACAAUGACCUGCACUGUCUCUAACACGUGGGGUUAUAUAAAUUCAGGUGCAUUAAAAUUAAAUAAAACUAAAAAAAAAAUCAGUUGUCAGAAUAGUCACAUUGACUGACAACUACACGCGGCUAGUGACCUGCCGGGCAGCACAGAUUUGAAUGUUUCUAUUUCCAUACAAAGUUCUAUUGGGCAGUGCUGAUCUAGGCGUGGCUACUCGAAGUCUGAUCCUUGAGCCAGCAGUAUGGCAUCACAUGGGAGCUUACUGGAAAUGCAGGAUCUCGGGCCCUACCCCAGGUCCACUUCAUGAGACUCUGCAUUUUAACAAAAUCCCUAAUUCAUUCAUACGCAUGUCCGAGUGAGAGGCAUCGGUCUAGAUCCAAAAUAGAAAUUGGUGGUUCUCGGAGUUUAGCAUGCAUCAGAAUCAUCUGGAGAAAUUAUUAAACACACAUUGCUGGGCAUCGAUCUGAGAGUUUCUGAUUUAGUAAGUAUAUUCUAGUUUCCCAGUGCUGCCAUAACAAAUUACCACAAGCUGGGUGGUUGAAAACAAAAGAAAUCUAUGCUGUCUCUCAAUUCUGGAGGCUAGAAGUUUGAAAUCAAGGUGUUGGCAAGGCCGUGUUCCCUCUGAAGCCUUCCUUAGGUAGAGAAGAAUCCUUCCUUGCCUCUUCCUAGCUUCUGGGGGUUUGCUGGCAAUCUCUGGUGAUUCUUGGCUUGAAGGUACGUAGCUCUGAUCUCUGAUCCCAUCAUCACACGGCAUUCACCUCUUACGUCUGUGUCUCUGGGUAUGUCUCUCUUCUUAAGAGGACACCAGUCAUAUUGCAUUAAGGGCCCACGCUGCUCCAGUAUGACUUCAACUUAAUUUAGCUAAUUGCAUCUUUAAUGACGUGUUUCAUAUUCUGGUGUACUAGGGCUAAAGGCUUCAACAUAUCUUUUUAAGGGGCAGGGGGCACAUUCAACAGAUAACAGGAAUUCCAGGGUGGGACCUGAUAAUUUGCAUUUGUAACAACUUCCCAGGUGAUCCUGAUGCUGCCCCAGGUAUCACACUUUGAAAACUACAGGUCUAAGAUACCUACAAAAUAGGAGUACAUAGAACUAAAAGUUGCAUUAUACUGUAGAAACAACUGUGUUCAGGAAUUCUAUUUUAAAGCAUACUUGGAAGAUGGUCAUCCAGUCUACGUGUGAAUACUUCCAAUGACAGGGUUCUCAUUACCAGCAGAGCAGCCUUUUCCACAGCUAUUCCUGUGAAAAUUCACACCCUUUGAACUUUCUAAAUAUCUGAUAUAUCUAGACAUCUCUAGAUAUCUGAUAGCAGCUGAAUAUCUCAAUAUUGAACUCUAUAUAUCCCUGUGUGACAGAAUUCUCAGAAUCCACUAGAUUCUGGGUUGCUGCUGGGGGCAUACUUGCUAAGGUUUUUGGGGAUGAUAAUCAUGUCUCCCAUUAUUAUACAUUAAUUAGAACUAGACACUAGAAUCCAGCAGAUUAAGAUCAAAAGGUCAGCUCUAUUUCCAGCAAACAUAUAUGGAAAGUACAACUUGGACCUUCACUGCAAUCAGCCUUCCUUAUAACCCCCACCUAGUUGAACUUAUCUGACAUAGUCAGAUACAGAGAAGCAGGAUGCUUGAAUCUACACCAGUGUGCAAGGUUUUGAGGGUAAGAGUCACUGCUAUUGCCAUAUAAAGGCUUCACCACUAGUAGACAGGUUUUCCUGAAAGAGAAAGGAAAAACACCUAGUUUCUCUUUCCUCAAACUCACCCAUCCAAGAAGACAGCCCUUCUCUUCUGGUGGCCAACUUGCCACCCACUCCCACUAUUUUCUCUCUUUCAAACACAUCCCCAAUGUUACUUAUAGAAGACCCCUCUUCCACGUUGCCCAAAUGUUGGAAGGUGACCCUAUUCUCAACUCAAGCCAAUCGUAGUACCUCUAAUCCCCUUGCAAGUGAUUGGUUCUAGAGUUCAGCUUUCAGCACAGCAUUAUUAUAGAAUGCUAUAGAAUGCACAGCAUUAUUCUAGAUCCUGCAAUUGGACCAGGGAUGGGCACAUGAUACAAACUAGCCUAAUUAGACUGAAUAAGAAGUUUGCUUGAACAGUUGGAAAAGAGAUUUUCUAAUGAGGAAGCAUUUUGUUCAAGGACUGAGAGUAGCCAUCUUCUAACUGCAGAAGAGUCAGUCUGAAGAAAAAAGCCUUCCCUUAGAGGCUGAGAAGAGGCAAAGAAGAGCAGAGAAAUAGAUUUCCAGCUCUAAUUAUAACAGAUGAUAAAACUAAAGCACAGAGAAUUUCUAUAUCUUGCCAAGAUCAGACAGCUCUAAGUGAUGGAGGAAAAAUUCAACCUCAGAUAGAUUAUAGCAACACCUGCAAAAACUUCAGUAAACCUAAGGAAAGAAGGUGACUCGAAUGGAUCUAUAAGUCCCUAAAGAGGAGGUCUCCAAAAUGACAUUUUUAUUGAGCACAUCCUAUCAAAUAACAGCACGUGCACGGGGUACAUCUGUCAGAAUUGGACGUUUUCAUCCCCAGUUAGCUUGCUGGUGGUCAAAUUAUGCUUCCUUGGCCCUCCUCAGUCUUUUGCAGAUUCUUAAUUCCAGUUGAACUAAGAAAGCAGGGCCACCGCGGGCCAGGACAACUCCCUGGGGACUGUUAUUCAUUCAUAUUCAUUGAGUCAACAACUACUCAUUGAGUACGGAACAUGUGUCAAGCACUGUUCUAGGUGCCAGAAGGAUGUAACAACACUAGAGCUGAUGCAGUUGUCUUAGAGCUUCCAUUCAAUGGGGAAAGCCUGACAUUAAACAAUAAAACAUGCACACCAUUUUUUUUUAACUACAACUGUGAUAAAUAUCUGAAGGAGCACAGUGUGCAAAAAGAGAGGUUAACAUGAGAGUGGCUGACCUCACAAGGCCUGUAAGAGAGGGGGACUUCUUUGAGGAAGUGAGUGGGAGUUAGCUAUGUGCCAGAGAAAGUUGGGAUCAUGCUGGGUAUCGCAGGCAAAAAGUCCCUGACUUGGGAAAAAGAUGGCUGGGCACAGAAAUUGGAAGACUAAUGUGGCUAGAGCCCAGAGGGCAAGCCAGAAUGCAGCGGGAGAUUGGUCAGGAGGGGAACUUCUAUAAGGUGUCUGUUCUGUAGGCUUUUGCCUUCUGUCUCCAAGGCAACAGUGAGGAGGGGGAUCUUGGAGGGGGGGUUAGUUACAGGAUUUAAUAAGAGAAGUGACUUAUGAGGUUUGUAGUGUCAAGAAAGAGUUUUAGGGGCAAGACACUGAUCCAGGGAAACCAGUUAAUAAGCUAUAGCAAAAGUCAACAUGAAAAGUUCUCAAAUUUUAAUGAAUUGCCUGGGAAUCCUGUUACAAUGCAGAUUCUGAUCCAGGAGUGAUCUGGGGUGGGGCCUAAGAUUUGCAUUUAUAACCCAGGUGCACAGGUGCUGGUCUGGAGAUAUACCACAAAGUUUCUACUAGCAGUUUUAUUAUUUUAAAGUUUAUUUAUUUAUUUUGAGAGAGGUAUAGAGCUCUCAAGA